GCUGUGGCUGUGGUGUAGGCUGGCAGUUGUAACUGAUUCAACCCCUAACCUGGGAACUUCCACAUGCCACAGGCAAGGCCCUUAAAAAACAAAACAAAACAACAACAACAACAAAAACCAUCAGUUGCUUCAGAGCCCGAGGGGCCCCAGCCCAGGACACAGCCUGUGUGCAACGGGCACCCCUACAAAGGCGGCUCAGCUAUCAAAGCUGUGACCAAGACCCGACUGUUCUGCCUGGAUAGAAACAGGAGGGCGCGUCUGCAGGGAACGCGUGCGCCCACUGCAACGCGUGCGCCUGGCACAGGGGGCAGCUUAGUGCUGCCAUUUGCUGCCCGCUGCCCUGGCCUUCCUCCCAACCACCACCCCACCUCCAGCUUCUGUAUCCCGGCCUCGUCAGGUCAGGCCUCUCCAACCUCCAGCGCCCCCCCAGGCUUCUCUUCUGGUGCUGGAGGUUGGGGCCGCAGACCCUCUUGGAUGUGUCUGAAGAGCGACAGCUGCCGGAGCCCAUCUGUGUGCGGGGCCUCGUGGGCCGUCACCUGCCUGGGGCCCACGUGGGCAGCGGUUGCCUGUGCAAGGGGAGGGGACACUCCAUUUUUCCUCUAUUCAUACAUUUCUGCACCUGCCUCACCCUUUCCAGUGAGCGUGUGUUACUGUUAUCAUGAGUGUAGGAAUAGCAGCUGGUGGCGAGGCCCCUGGGGGGCAGCCCUGGUGCAAAGAGGACCUUUCAUACUCAGGAAGGGAGGUGAGCAGGUGACAGGGGACAGCACUGAGACCAGCCGCUCCACGAGGACCAGGCUUUGUGCAUGUGAUGAGGUGCCUUCUGGGGCUGCCUCUGCUGGGCGCGUGCAGGUGCGGCGGGAGCGGGCGUGUCAGGCCAGAGAGGCCUGGUUUCAGAGGUAAUUGGGGCUGCUUGUUGGGCUGGAUUACUGGAUUCCUUUUAUUGGCAGUGGCUGUCAGGGUCUUUGAAAAGUCACAUAACUUAGUUUAUUACUUAGGAAACUAUGCCGAGGUCUGUCUUAAGCGGCGGACUGUCCCUGAAGACGGAGGCAGCUCAUGGAGUUUCACGCGAGGAGCCGGCGGCAACCCGGCCUUCUCUGGGAAGGCGCUGCGUGAGCACAGAGCCUGUCGGGGGUGCUGGAGGUCGUCCUCUCAGGGUCCUGGGAGCGGGGGCCACGCUCUGCCCCCGCCUGGGCCCCGGUUCCCACUUCUGUGCACCACGUACAGACGUGCCGUCAAGUGUCGCUGAUGGCGCCAGCAGAGCUGGAGCCUCCUUCUUUUUUGGGGGGAGCUUACUUGGCUCCUCACCAGAAAAGGUCUGAGAACUUAGCGCGUGACUUUGGGGCUUGACUCUGUACCCACAGGACACUUGGCUGAAGUGAAGAGGCUCCCUGAUGGGUGUGCGGGAGCUGACAGCGUGGCGGGAGGGGACUUGCCACGGGCACGCUGGCCAAAUCUCCGAGGAGGGGGCACUUUCCUCAGCAUGGACGGUGAUUUCCCCUCUGAAGAGGCCGUUGUGGGGUCCGAACGCAGGGGUGUCAGGCAGUGUUUCGCAGGCCUGGUCUCUCCCAGUGAACUCCACGUCCGCGUGUCUCCUGUGGGGACAGCCCCUUAGUGUGUGGGAGGUGUUGUGUGUGGUGACAGCCCCUUGGGGGGGCGUGGAGGGUCUCCCUGGCACCGCUGGGCCUCACAGAUGGCCUGCUUGUAGAACAAUUCUUUAUUUGGUGUUUAACGGAGAACAGUCACAUUCCUGUUGAAAUUUCUGUUUGGGAGCCAAGAAUAGACCCUUAGGCCGUUGCAUCUGUAACAUGCAUUCCAGGUACCGCAGAUGGAUUUGGUCAAGCUCUUAGACUCCACGGUGGGAGGCCACCCACCUCUGCUGCACGGUGCAUGGGCUCAGGGCGCCGGGACCUCGAGCUGGGCCUCCUGGAGCCAGGCAGGCAGAUGUGGGCUGAGAAUGGCCCUCACCCAUGCUCACACCCAGCCUGGCCCCAUACCCUGAGGCCCCUCGGGGCAGGAGAGCCUGUGAUCCCCCAGGCCGGCCUGUCUCCCCGGAAUCCGUCAGGAGAGUCUUGGGCCUUAAAUGUGGAGGCAACUUCAUGGCACAGGCUGGCGUCGCCCCCUCCAUUCUCAGGCAGCCCCGUGUCCCCACACUUCCCUCCAGGGGGAUGCUCUGGUGUUUCGUCGCUCCCCCACCCGCAGCUCGUAAGGCCCAAGGUCAGACCCCCUCCACCCCUGCAGCUCGGGAAGCCCAAGGUUGCCAUCUGCCUGCACGGCCACGUGGAGAUUCCUCAGGAGCUGCUGGUCUUCCUCGGGAGGCCCAGCCUCCUGUUAACUGCCCAGGGUGAGUGGGAAGCGUGGUCGGACUUUGCCAGGACGGUGCUGGGGGCAGGCAGUGAGGACGGCAGCGCAGGGAGGGCCCGGGCCGCUGGGAGUGCCGAGGCCUCUCCUCCUCUGGGCUGUUAGGGGCCGGCAGUGCGCCAUCGUAUGUCUCCCGGAAAUGGAGCCUCUUCUUCGCUUUUGGUCGAAAGAGGCAGGUGGGCAUUGCCAGAUCCCUGCCUUCAGAGGGCCCGGAGCCACGACUCGCUGGCCCCAAAGGCACGGAGGUGGGUCAGUGCGGCCAAGAAGAGGUAACCUCGCUCAGGGAUUUAACCAAAGAGGGUUUACAGCCGCUGCCCACGUGCGCCCCAGACGGCUGGCCUUGGGGGGCGCAGGAUUUCUCUUCCACCCCGUCGCCUCUCCCUCCCCUGCUCCUCGUGCUCGCAGAGGAACCCAGCUCCCCUCCGAGGCCUGGAGGGCAGACCCCCUGUUUGCUGCCCCUCAUCGAGGACUGGGGAAAUGCGACGGAUACAGGCAAACUUCGUUUCAGGCAGCAGGGCCGUGCAUGUAAAUCAAGUGCCUCUUUGUAAAUCAGGGGACUCCAGAUUCAACGAACUGCGCUAAUUUUUAUGAAACUCAGGCUGAAGACGAUGCCUCGUUACUGUCACUGUUGUUCCCAUGUAAGGACCCUGGCGGUGCAUUUCUGUGUAGAUUCAGGAAAAAGGCCCCUUUACAGAGGAGCGGCUUGGAGCACUUGACCAGCCAAGCCUCCUGCAGGUGCUGGAAGCACAAGACCCACCGUGACACUGAGGCAGCAGUGGGGUGGGCUUUUGCGUUUUGAACACUUGUCGUUCUUUUGCUUUUAUUUGCAUUUUACAGACGAAAGGUGUGAGGCUCAGAGAGGGCGAGCACCUUGCCUGGAGUCGGAGUCAGAAGUAGUGGAACUGAGUUUGAAUCCAGUUCUAUGGGGGUCGCGGUCUCUCCGGCCUUCUUGCCAUCAGGGGGUGGGCUGCUGUCCCCGUUCAUGUUGAGGCAUAUCCUCGCCGCUGCUGGGAACCAUGUCCUGCCCCGGUCCAGGAUGUGGUUGGACGCUGCUGUCCUAUGGGCUGAAGGUCACUCAAAUUCCCUGGACAGGAGUCACAAGAGACCACGCCUCUCGUGUGGCCUUUAGUGAAUUCAGAGUGGACAGCCGGCACCCCUGCAUUGUCCAGAGUGUUCCAUCACUGAAUUGAGACCCCCGCCCCCCCUCACCCGGCUAGAACCACUGGGUGGUUCUCCCCCCCAGCCCCAUUGGGUGGGUUGGCUCCUCCUGGACCUCAUAGCACAGGACGCAGGGCGCUGUCCUUUGUGACGGGCCUGCUGGCUCGGCUGGCAUUUCGGGGUCACCCCACUGCCGCGCCUGCAGAGCUUCUUUCCUUUUGAUGGCUGAAGACUGUUCCACGCUCUGUCUUUUCAUCUACGGAGGGCGUUUGGCUUGUUUCCACUUUUAGCACCUGUGACGAUGCCACUGAAUGGCGGUGUCUUCAGUGCGUUUUCCUGUAUUUGCCUGUAUCUGUUUUCAGUUAAUAGCUAAUUUUUUGUCAGAAGUGAAUUUUGAAAAUAUUAUCAAUGCCUUUGUUUCUAUUCCAUUAAAUCCAGUAACUUUAAAUUACAAUAAAUUUUCUUUUUGAUAAAAAUAAAGUAUUUUAAUUUUUUUUAUGUUUUAAUAUACCUGCUUUUCAGUUUUUCACUGUCUUUCUCAAAUACAUUUUACAUUCCAGGAAAACCGUUACAGACACACCUGAGCUUGUGGCUCCAGAGUAUACAGUUUCUCUUUUGUCUCAGGCCCGAUGUGGCUCGGCCAGCGCUGGUCACUGCCUGGGGCGGGGGCAGUGGGGCAGGCCUGGCUCGUUGUCGCAGUGAAUUGUCGUCACAGUGUCGGCUGUAACUGCAGAGUCGCCUCCGUCCUGUGUGCCGUGUCUGCAGAGAGCUUUUCUGGGUGUCCUCGCAGCGCCCGCCUGCGCCCCUGGCUUCAAGCUGAGCGUGGGGGGUGGGGUUGGUCCUGGCGGUGCCCCCUUUCUGCGUCUGCUCUCCCCCCCCCACCCAGAGGCAUGUGCUCAGUGACACCCCCUCCUCCGGUGUCCACCACGCAUGCAGUCCUGGGAAGUGGCGGGCAGUGGGCCCGAUCCCUGUCCCCUGACAGCCUCUGUGAAUUCGGGCCCCCCCCACAGCAGCUUGGCCUUGACCCCAGCCCACAACGUGACAGAGGAGGGACGGGAAUCCAGGCAUCUGUGACAUCAAGGUGCAUGCUGUCCAGACACAGCUUGGUGCUCUGGCCGUGGGGACCGGGGCAGCCCCCAGGCUGCUCCCCUGGCCCCGUGGCCUCUGUCCACGCCGACAGCCCUGGUCUGUGUCUGUUCACGUCUGUGGCCCCUCCGGGGCCCUGGCCCACGCCUGCCAGUUCAGAGGCUCUGUUUGGGAAGCUGCUGUUGGAGUUUGUUUGGGGUCACACCUGUCCUCUGGGGCUGCAGAGGUCGAGUCUCGACCCGACCCAAGUCUCUAUUUGAUGCCUGAGAUUUGGACCAAAUGAGACAGAGCAAGUGGGUAAAGGGAGCGUUUGACCUUUGCUGCCACUUCAGGGACCCAGGGAGAAAAAAUGGGGUUUAAAGUGGGGAAAACGGCUUCAAAGUCUCACAGCCUGUGUGGCCCGUGGCCUGGCCCGGGCCAGCUGUGUUCCCCCAAUGGUGACACAGUCACAGGCCACUAACACUUCGAGAAGGCCCCGGGCUUCCUAGCCUUGCCAGAAGGAGACCAGGCUCUCGGGCCAAGGGGGAGAUGUGAAACGCCUGCGGCCGCCGAGGAAAGGCUUUUGUCCAGCCCGGCUUAUCUGAUCUCCCAGCUUGUAGUUCUGUGUUGUCAAAACAGGCUGCUUCCUGUUACACAAGCGAGCUGCUGAGCGUGGGGGCUGCCGGCUUGGCGCGAGCCCAGUGCAGCGGGGCUGGUGGCCCUCCGUCCCUGCUGGGUUUGGAUCAUGGAGAAGCCCACGUGAGGGACCCAGGUGAGCUGGGCAAGCAGAUCCUUCCACAGACUGGCCUUGCCCUCCGGCCGUGUGGCCUGCACCGUGUCACUUUGCUCCUAAACCCUCCAGCGGGGGGAGCAGCAGGAAGGCGAGGCUGAGACACAAGGGGGGGAGAUGCCGAGCGUGGGCGUCGGUGGGGCCCAGGUUAGACGGGAGCAGAGGCUGCAUGUCUGACGGCAUGGGGAUCCCCACUUCAUGUGGGGAAGGUGUGCACCCAGCACGUGGUCACCGUCACCUCCGUGACAUGAGAGCGGGAAACGGGAGCCCAGCUGGGCUGUGGGGUCAGCGGGUGAGAGGCUCAUGGCCGGGGGGGGGGGGGACGCCUCGGUGGGGAUUCAGACACGCGGCAGAGCCGGUGUGCCACCAGCGCAGGACCCGGCGCUGAGGCAAGGAGGCAAGCACGGCUGGCCUUGUUAUGUCUACACCCCACCCACUUCCUCAUGGGGUUAUUUUAAGCCAGUCCCAGACGUCGUAUUACUUCAUCCAUAAAUACUUAUGAGGGUAUUUCUAAAAGUUAGAUAAGAACUAAAAAAGCCCCACAAAACCACAAUUCCAUCUUUGCAGCUGAAAUAAUUGGCAGUGCUUCCUUCAAAUUGUCAGAUAUCAGUGUUCCGAUUUCCUGGUUGUCUCUCAAUAUUUAAAGCAGCCAGUUCUGCAGUAUUUUUCCUCUCUGGCCCAGGCUCCCGGCUGGGCACCAGGAGGGCGUCAGGGAAGGGGCUCAGGCUGUCGCCUGGAGCGCUCGCGGGAGGUGCACCUGUGCGGGUGGUGCUGGGGACAGGGCCUGGGAGCCCCAGGGCACUUGGAAUCUGGUCACCCCCAAGUGAGCGGUGUGUGACGAAGAGAAGGACGGCUUUCCCCCUGGGGGACCCGCGUGCCCCGGCGCAGCGGCCGUGCGGAGACUACAGGUCUGGAGGGGCUGGGACCCCACAGGGGGUCUUGGCCGCUCUCCUGGGACUCAGUCUUUAUGGGAGGCAUUCUGACACGGAGCCGCUGCCACUUGGAAGCCUCUCUUUCCCGGGGUCUGUGAGCCCCCCUGCCCACCUUGGCCCCCACCACUGACCUUGCCCCCCGGUCAACCUUGCCCUUAGCCUGGGAACUGAAUCCCACGAUGGAGGAGCUGGUUUGGGCAGAAAGGAACUUGGCAAGUUCUGACUACUGGUGAGCUCCACUCCGGGGAGUGUGUCCCCAGCCCUGGCCUGGCACGGAGGCCACGUUUCAGGGGACGUGGCACAACACAGAAGUCCUGACUACAGCUCUGGAGGCCAGAAGUGCAGAACAAAUGUGUCCGGGGCUUCCUUCCUCUCCUCCAGGUAGAACCACUCCUGCCUUUUCCAGCUUCCACAGGCACCCAUGUCCUGAGCUGGGGCGCCUUCCUGUCUACAAACCAGCGCCUCCCGGUGUCUCUCUGGCUCGGACCCUCCAGCCUCCCUCCUCCCUACCGGCCCCUCGGGGUUCGCCCACCAGGGAGUCAGGACCUUCCUCCCAAAACCCUCCACUCAAUCUCGUCCAGUCUCUUUUGCUGCGAGGUGACAGUCGCCCAGCCUGGGGCCUCGGUGUGGCUGUCUCAGGGAGCUGUCACUCCGCAGCCACAAACACCACACAACGUUGUAUCAAGGGGUCGGAGACACGCCCAAGGUGGACGCAGCUCCUCUGGUGGUGGCUGCGAUUCGGUGUACCGUUCAGGUAAACCUUUGUGUCGUCAGCCCAGGAAGGUACGAAAGAAAAGCUGCUAGUUGGGGUAAGUAGCUUUUUAGACACACAUCAGGUGCUGGAGCUGCUCUGCUGCCCGUAGUCCGUCUCCGCCCGAAGCAGUGCUUUGCUUCACUUCCAGAGUCUGAGCGGGAAUCGCCUGUGCGGGGUGAGGUGGGGGGCGGAUCUGGGGGCUCGGGUCACACGAUGGCUGCCGUCACCUCUCCCGGGCCGGGGGGCAGUUUUGAGAGAGCUGGGGGCUGUCAGCUGUGCCCCGGGGUUCGCUAACCCUAACCCUCCCCCAGGGGGUGGCAGACGCCCUGCCGCUUCCUCUCCAGGGCUGAACCCGCUGGGGCCCCGUUCUCAACCCCAGCUUUCUCCCUGGCUUCUCGCAUCAUUCACUGAUUGGAUCAGCAUUGACAUUAUCUUCCGGGAGCGGUGGAAGAUGAGGAGACAGGCGCAAAAAAUAAAAAUGUGAAUGUUGUGCCUUUCUCAAAGAGCUUCCCUUCUCCAUUGGGGCAGAUCUCAGCCAGCGAAUUAUGCAGGUAAAUGCACAGACACACCUGGAACGCAGGCCCGGAUGCUGGUGUGAGAAGCUGGAGUCAGGAAGGCGGCCCUCCUCCCGCUUUGUGGGGGGAGAGCCUGGGGAGGAGGGGCCCCAACGGUGAAGGUGGGCGAGGGCAUGUGUGAUGCCCCGCGUGGCAUGACUGACCCCCCCCACCCACCGGCUGGAGGGCUGGGGUCCGGGGAGGGUGCCUGGGCCCCACCCUGAGGGCUCUGCAGGCCCUGCCGGGAGACGCAUUCGCUGUCCAGCAGCAGAGGGAGGCGCUGUGUGUGAGUCUGGCAGGAGAUGACUCGGGGGGUGGUGGGGGCCGCGGGCGGGCACAGGGGUUCAAGGAUGCCAGGGGAUAAAAUCGUAGGUGCCGGGAAGAGCCCAAGGGAGUCAAACUGACUGGGCCUGAGGGAGCUGGGAGAGGUUUGGGGGGAGAAGGGGUGGGGUGUGCAUCCUGAUGGAUGCCGUGUUCACCAGUGGUCAAGGAGGGGCCUUUAAACCCCCAGGGAGGUGUCGAGGGGGAGUCUGGCCCAGGGAAAUAGAGGUGGGGUCACCGCGUUCCUUCAGCCACCGAGAGCUUAGACCCCAAACAAAGCCUGCUACUGAGCUGGAGGUGGUGGGUGUCGUGGCCUGAAUGAGUGUGACCUGCGACCCCUGUCAUAUGCUGACACCCUCCGCCUGCCCAUGUGAUGUGUCUGGGGCUUUGCAAGUGACUAGGGUUAGAUGUGGUCACGAGGGCAGGCCCAGGGUGGGGUCAGUGCCCUCAGAGUCUGUUUCUGCUCCUGCAGACACCAGGGGGUGGCUGGCUGGGGCCUGGGACCAGGAGGCAGCUGGCUGGGACCCCGGAGGCUCCCCACCGGAACCUGACCCUCCCUGACCUCAGGCUUCCAGCCUCCAGCAGGGGAGCAGCAAAGCCUGUCACUUUUGUAAAAAGUAGCAGAGAGACUCCUGUGCCGUUUACCUGGUUUCUGCUCGGCGUUCACACCGGAAGAAGGUCCCCUAGGACACCAACAGCAUCAGGAGUCAGAACUGCCAGCAACACAAGGAUCCUGGCUCUUGCCUGCUUUCAGUCACACUCCUGCACCUUGACGUGGUUUUAAUGUUGUGUCCAGAACCUCCUCUUGUCGCCUUUGGAAGGACUGGUCACCGGGAACUGCUGUCACCGCCAGGGACCUGUUCUUUUCUCUGUUCUUUGCACGUUAUGAAAAUUACCUCCUUGUCAAUUUUUCCUUUAUUCCUCGUGUUUAUUUCAAAAGCCUACUUGGGUGAGAGACUGUUCAGUUUGUAGGUACAAUACCAAAUGCAAGCUGUAAAGGUAUCAUCUGAAAACAGAGCUUAGAAAGCAUAACACUGUUCGUUGCACAGGCUUUUUCUCAGUCCUCUGCAUUUUGUGACCAAAAAGGUGACUAGAUUUUCUUUAAAGCAGUAUUCUUCAUUUUAAGACUGUAAAAAAUGUAAAAAUAGGCAAGAAUAGAAAAACACUGUUUUCAUCUAUUAAUUUUCUUUAUUUUUCCUUCCUUCUUCCUUUUUUUUCUUUCUUCUGUUAAAUGUAAAUCUUCGAUUCAUCUGAAAUGUAUUUUAAUCCAUGGGAUGAAGAGUCAAGAGUGGGAAUUUUGUUCUACCCAAAUGGAUGGUUGAUCGUCCUAGUAUCAUUUAUUGAAUAAUUUAUCACUUAAAAAUUUUUUUUUGAAUCCUCAGUGUUAACAAUUAUUUGUAAGUGUUGCUACAGCUAAUAACUCACAGAUGAGGCUUCUGAGAUCGAGUUAUGUAAGUUGAUCAAGGUCGCAAAGCUUGAACCGUGUAAAGCCAGAGUCAGUCAGGUUUGCAGGCUCCAUGCCUCCCACCCUGUUCUGUUCCCAGCUGUGAACCCCUCAUCUGACCUUGAAGCUCCCAGGGCCCUUGGGAGCCAUGUAUCCUGGGAGAAGCCACACAGAGUCUCUGGAUUCAGUGUCCCGGGCGGCCUUGUAGGCGACUCUGUUCGUGUGGGAAUGACCUUGUGGCACUAAGACAGCUAAAUGCUCACGAUGACCUAAGGCAGCUCCACCUGCACCAAGUCGGGCCUCACGCCACAGUAGGAUUCUGCUGUUAAUUUCAGAAUCAUGUUUUGCUAUUUGAGAUGUGCCAGUUGGACUGAGAUGGGAGAAGCUGGAAGAAAGUGAAAGAUUUCUGCUUCAGAGAGGAGUUUCCUGGUGGCUGGGACAGUCUUUGUCCCAUAUUUUUGUGGUGGGGAAAAGGAUGCUUUGCGAGAGGUGAGAAGGGCUGGAAGCACUUGGCUUGGCAGGUGGAUCAGGAGAGACCUUCCCAGCUGAGGCCACUGGGGAAGGCGGCUCCCUCAGCUCCGGUCACAUCCAUGGAGGGGUCAGCAGGGGAGUGUGAUGCUGUGUCCACGUGUGCAGGCCCCCGACUGACUGUGAUUCCCGACCCACGCGCAAGUCACACACUGCUAACUGGAAGAUGUGGGUGCAGAACCACUGGAUGUCCAGGGCUCUGGGGCUUUCCUCACCCCACUUGUCCUUGCAGCCCUCAGACCAGUCCGUGAACUCUCGUAUGUGGAUGCCCACUGAGUGCCGGGGCCUUGACCCCAGGCGUCUGCGUUAGUGGAAUGAAUGGUGGGUGGGAUAUAUGGUAGGCAAGCUGCGAGAAUGGCCUGCUGGCGGCCCGACCCCUGCCUGCCACCCCUGGAGGGAACAGUCCCAACCCCUCCCAGGCCCCAGCAGAGUAAUGCGGGAUGGCAGAGCUGUCCAUUCGGUAAAGGACCUGCCAAGACGACACCAGGUCUUCGAUGUUUGGAAGGUAAGCCUCUCGGCUCGGUGGAGCUGGGCAGGGGCGCUGCGGCCUCAGGGCUGGACCCUAUCCCCUGGGUCGGCAGCAGCUGCCAGUCAAACACGAACAGGUCCCAGUGGGCCAGACACUGGCCUCGAACAGCCUGCAGGGUCUGGCCACCGAGACGUGCUUUUUUCAAACCAGCAAUAGUCACGGAAGGUUUAGAGAUGGAUUUGCCUGGAAAAGUUAUUUCCGAGGUUACCGGCCGUUUCAAUUAUUAAAAAGUGGGACAGACUCGAAGGAUGUGGAAGAAACUCGUGUGGCAGGAAACCGUCCCACAGACUAACUGACAGCUCGGAGCUUUAAGCAGAAUCUGGUUUUGGAUGAGAGAGUCCAGUCCGAGAGGGAACCCAGAGACCUUAGCUGGGUCCUCCAGGCGGCUUGGUUCAGCCCAGUCACGAUCCCGCCCCUGGACCCUCUGUCCUGAGGGCGUGGGCACUGGGGAUGAAAGACAGGUGGUUCAGGAUGAACGCGGGGACCGAGGUGGACACUCAGGGGCCUGAGGCUGGGGGCUCCUCCGCGCGGCCCAAGGCCCAGGUCUGCCCGUAGUGGGUGGUGACCGGCUCAGCGUCUGCAGGUUCAUGUCACAGGAGGCCCGGUGACUGGUGCUGGGACCCCCCCAAACAGCAGGAUGUCCAGAUUCUCUGACCGCCUCGAAAGGGAUUCUGGUCGCUGGGAUGCCGUUUUCCCCACAGCAAAGCUGAGGUGCAGAUUCUUGAACUGUCAACAGACUGAAGGCUCUUGCUCGAGGGGGCCUGGGCUCUUAUUUCAAACCCGAAAGGGUCUGGAGGAGAGCACACCAUUGCUCAGGGACCUCAGACUCCGACAAGGCUGGAAGGAGCUUUAUCACAGCGCCCACAGGCUGGAGGAGGAUGGAAGCUGCUCCUCACGGCACCCCCAUGGAGCCAGCCCUGGAUCUCAGACCUGGGGGGCUACCACCCAUGCUGGGGGCCCCGCCUGCAGCGCCUCCCUUUUCUCCUACUUGUGGGACCUGUGGGACCUUUCCGGAAACAAAAUAGAUCAAGCUGCCCUGGAAGCAAUGGAAACCGAAAAGCAGAGCCAGGCUGCUGGGAAACUCUGAGGUCCUUGCAAGGGCUUUGUUUAACACUCGGCGUGAGCCCUUCCAGCCCCGGGACCUGGGGCGCACAGCUCCUCCUCCCCACACCCCGCCCAGCCCAGCAGGCUGGAGCCCCUUUCCUCCCUCGGGGACUUCCUCGAGGGGACCUCACCCUCACUGCCCACUCCCGGCCUUCUGCGCACUGUUUCCAGCACCCAGUACAGUGGCUGCAAACAGUAGAUGCUCCAUAAGUGUCGGAAAAACCGAGACCCUCACGGUGGACUUUGCUUAAACACUAACUGAUGCACUGUCCACAUUUUUGCGCAGCUCUUCGGAGUAGAAUUCCAGACUCUUUCCCCACACGCCAACCAAAUGCCCGUGUUUCAGUAUUUGAACAUGUUUUAUUUAAUGAAAAGCACCAGUUUGGUGUAAGGUUAGCAGGUGACAUACAUCAAAAGUCUCAAAGAUGCUCAUAUUACUUGUUCCAAUAUUCCACUUCUGGGCAUUUAUGCAAAGGAAAGAAUUCAAGAUAUGGAAAAACCUUUAUGCCCCAAAAUAUGCAUUCUAGGACAGCACUAUUUCUAACAGUGAAACAUGUAAGCAGCUCAAGUGUCCAAAAGGGAGGCUGUUCGGUGAUCAAGGGUGGAUUCUCUUAACGGAUGAUGGGAAAGCAAUAAACGCUGCUGCUUAUCUGUAGUUAAUGACAUCCGCUCAUACGCCCGUGGAUCAUGGUCAAGGGUUCUGUGUAGUAAUAAGGUUAAACACACGAUGUGCAAGAACAACUUUUCGCCCCUUGAGCUAUAGUAUGAAAGUUCUCAAAGCAAAUGUGCAAAAAGGUUCACUGUGGUUUCUCUGGGUGAUGGGACUAAGAUUUCAUCUUUUCUUUUCUUUGUUUCUUUUUAACUUUCUAAAUUCCUGUGACAAGCGUUUUGCAGUAUCAAACCACCCAGAUAAUACUGACUUCACGUCGUGCGCCUUUUCUGCUCGGAGACAUGCUGAUUUCUGUUGCGCUGGCGCCAUCUCCAUUUCCUGGGCGCCUUCUCCCUGCACGGGCGGUUCCCCGAGCAAGUGCAGACCUCCCGGGUGCCCAGAGUCCAGGGUGCCUCUCGGGGGGCGCCCCACCCGUGUCUACGAGGCUGGGCCGUGGACCCCCUCCACGCAGACGAGGAAACCAACAGAGAAGGCAGCCGGUGCCGGCAGGUUGUCCGUCUCACCAAAGCCUUCACUGGGGUUAAUGUGUUUGGUCUAUUAGCGUCGUUCCUGGAAACGACGUGAAUCAUUUCCAAACACCUCCAUUGUUUCAGUGCAUAUUUUCCCUGUGGUGGCCAGGCGAUCUGCGUGCUGCAGCAAAGUCCUCAUAAAUCCCCAAACAGUCCCCGAUUGUCUGUCUCCCUGGCAGGAGUGCAGACAUGCCUUCGCCUCACUUUCUUCCACGUAUUCCUCCUGACAAAGGCAGAGGACCCACUAGGGACUGCUUAUCAGAGCCUUAUUGGGGCAGCCUCUUUUGUAGCAUUUAAGAAAGAAGCAGCCUUUCAGGAAAAUGGCCAAAAGGGCAGUUUUUCUUGGGUCAACACUCAGAUGAAGCCAGGGUAAUGAUGAAAAUGAAGGGCAACUAGCAAAAGUCCCGCACGGGAGUUCUGCCGUGGCUCAGCGAUAGCAAACCCACCUCGUAUCCAUGAGGACAUGGUUUCGAUCCUUGGCCCUGCUCAGUGGGUUAAGGAUCCAGCGUUGCCAUGAGUUGCGUAGGUCGCAGAUGCAGCUCAGAUCUGGGGUUGCUGUGGCUGCGGUGGAGGCUGGUGGCUGCAGCUCCAGUGCGACACCCAGCUGGGGAGCCUCUGUAUGCUGCAGGAAGGGCCCUAAAAAGACAAAACGAAAAAUAAGUAAAUGAGUAAGUGGAAUAUUUCUUUAAAAAAGUCCAGCACAGGACUCUCCCCGAAUAACGAGGAAUUUAGAGAAAAGGAUCAUCCUGGGUCCGAUUGCCAGGGACUUGUGGCUGUGGCCUCUGCAGCACAGGACGAAUGGGAGGGAGGCCUCCAAACGUCGCUGCUCAAGGACGUCUGAAUAGACGCUGCUUGGAAAAGAGAGAGCAAGUCAUGCCUGCAAGGCUGAGACGGGUCCCUGGAUUCAGACUCUACGCUUCUGAUCGUACUAGAUAUUUUGAGCAGUCAAGCAAGGAUGCAGUAUUGAUGACUCUCCAAAAGCACCUCGAAAGGAUGGGAAGAUGAUCGCAGAGGACCUGGUAGCAUCAGAAGGUUCCCGCGUAAACCCAGAGGUGACUGCAGCCAUGGAGGUCGUGGUGACCGAAGGCUCACGCUGUCUCCCCUGUAGGAAACUGAGGCCCCCAGGACGGGCUGUCUUGCUCCAGAUCAGAUAAUUACCAGAGGCGGGCCGUGUGGCAGCCCAGAUGGGACUUCCAAGCCCUUGCCAGCGCUGGAAAUGAAUCCGAAGUUAAUUCCACCAACCUUCCCGCCCCACCGCGAACCUUGGCAUUGGUGUCACGGCCAGCCUUGCCCAAGAGCAAUUCUAAAAGAAACCAUCCCAACCCCGGCACCUCCCUGCCAGGCUUUUACAUUUCAAGGAAGAGGAUCCCGUAAACACCUGCGAAACGAAAGGCCGCGGCUGACGGCAGAAUUCGUUCGCCUGCUGAAGGAGUGACCUGGGGAAGAGGCUGGUUUCCGCAGCGGGAGCUUCCCAGGCAGCGCGGCCAUGGCUGGCCUCGAGCUUCUCCCCUGCCGGCCACCUCGGACCCAGGGGUCGCCUCAGGCCCAAAGGCCCAGAGCGCCCAGUCUAGUCUCUCCAAUCAGGUAACGAAACGUGUACCAACCUCCAGGAGUUUCCGACUGGAUGUCCCAGUAACCACAGGAGUUGUUCCCUCCAGGAUGAGGCCAGUGCAACACGUCACCAGGUGGCAUUUAGUCAGGUGUGGCCUGAGACUUGUCUAGGCUUGCCCUGGUCACUGAGCUGUGGAGAAACACCAAUUUGGAUUCUUUAAAGGCCACUUAUGUUGUUGAGGUGGGGUUCAUUCUAUUUCAAAAUUGUAAUAAUUAGAGGAAGGUGAUUAUAAUUGGUUCUGGGAAGGAAAGAUGCAUUUAAUAAAUUCUGCAAAACUUCAGGAUAUCAUAUUGCAAUAACAUUGAAACCAACUAAGAAAAAUAAAGGAUAAAAAGAUACAGCAGCAGAGGGAAAUUAAGCAUCUUCUAAACAAAACAGAAGGGGUGCAUGCAGAGAAAGGACACUGAAAAGGUAUUUACAAGCAAUGAAAACACAGAUACAACAAGCCGCCUUUAUAACAUGAGGCGCAGGGAUUAUUUCAUGCACCAGUGCUUCCCAUAGUUCAGUCUUUUGCAUGUGAUUUCAGAGCUUUGCCAUAUCUGUACAUCUGAAUUUUUUUUAUUAUUUACUUAAUGAAUGUGUAAUAGAUUAAAUUUUAAGGUGUAGAUCCAUCUAGAGCCAACUGAAACAGUAUCUGUAAAAUCACAGAUUUGUUAUUCUGGCUGUACUUUUUUCUAUAAUACACUGAAAUAAAUUAGUGACUUUAAAAAUAAAAAGUGUCUAUCUAUGUACCACCUAAAACUCUGUUAUGAUCCGUCGACACCUGGGACUUGGGAAAAUGCAUGGUUGCCUACACCUCCCCCUGUGAAAGCUAAGGUAAAUGGCCCCUGGAGAGCUAAAGUGGAUGGCAGUCAAACCGGAGAAAACCGUGCCAAAGAGGGAAAACCCCUCUCCGCCCACCAAUGGACCCUGACACACGAACGGAAACUCUUCUGCAGCCUCACCACAUGGAUGUGAGCCCACGCCUGUCGGUAGAGAGAGAGCCUCAAUCAAAACAUAGGCUAGGAGUUGCUGUUGUGGCUCAGUGGGUUAAGAACCCAACUAGGAUCCUCAUGGAUGUGGGUUCGAUCCCUGGCCUCUCUCAGUGGGUUAAGGAUCCAGUGUUGCUGUGGCUGUGGUGUAGACCGGCAGCUGCAGGUCCAGUUCUACCUGUAGCCCGGGAACUUCCACUGUUGCAGGUGUGGCCCUGAAACAUGAAAGGCAAGUGCCACUUGAAACCUUGGGGAGGAAAGCUGGAUGCGACAGGUAGGUGGCAUUCUAAGAUUCAAGCAGUCUUUUUACCAUUAAUUUUUUCGGACUAUAAAAGUAAUUCAGGGAGUUCCCGUCGAGGCUCAGUGGUUAGUGAAUCCGACUAGGAACCAUGAGGUUGCGGGUUCGCUCCCUGGCCUCGCUCAGUGGGUUAAGGAUCCAGCGUUGCUGUGGCUGUGGUGUAGGCCGGCAGCUACAGCUCCAAUUAGCCCCUAGCUUGGGAACCUCCAUAUGCCGUGGGUGUGGCCCUAGAAAAGACAAAAAGUAAAAUAAAAUAAUAAAUAUAAAAAAAUUUAAAAUAAGAAAGUAAUUCAGGUUUCCCGUCAUGGCUCAGCGAUUAACCUGACUAGGAUCCAUGAGGGUGGGGUUCGAUCCCUGGCCUUGCUCAGUGGGUUAAGGAUCCAGUGUUGCCAUGAGCUAUGGUGUGGGUCACAGACGAGGCUUGGAUCCCAUGUUGCUGUGGCUGUGGUGUAGGCCAGGGGCUAUAGUUCCGAUUCGACCCCUAGCCUGAGAACCUCCAUAUGCCGCAGGUGCCACCC